GGUCCUCCAGGGUUACCAGGUUUUCCGGGAACACCAGGGCUUCCUGGACUACCAGGCCAGGAUGGGCCUCCCGGACUCCAAGGUAUCCCAGGAUGCAAUGGAACGAAGGGAGAACGUGGUUUUCCAGGCAGUACAGGUUUCCCAGGUUUGGCUGGACCUCCCGUAAGUAAAAGAAAUAUCUUCUUGUCACUCUUACUGUAUACUUGGUUCUGAAUAGUUUUUGAAGCCCUAACCUGUUUAUUGUAUUUUAUGCUAUGUUCUUCAAGUUCAAUCUUGUGAAACUGCUUAGGGGCCAAAUGGAGAAUGGUAGAAUAUUAAUUCUGGUUACACAUUGCACAGAUUGGAGAAUUCAGGGAGCUGAAGUCCACAGCUCUUGAAGGUGCUAAGGCAGACACACUGCUAUAAAUGCUGCUAAUCACAGAUGUCUGGGCUAUAAGCCAUACCUAAGAAUACUGGAAAUUGUAAUUCAGCAACAUCUAAUGAGUCACAGGUUUUCUGGCCCUGAGAUUGAGGAUAUUUAAAAAAAAUUAAAUCUGAAUUCCAUUUCCACCUUCAGCUAGGAAGAAUCCCUCUUGAAAAUGUUAAGACUUCUUUCUAAGUUAACUGUUCCACGAUUUAGAA